rnacentral:tRNA from 1 species
GGGGAUGUGGCUCAGUGGUACAGUGCUCACCUAACACGUGUGAGGCCCCCUGGGUUCAAUCCUCAGCACCACA